rnacentral:rRNA from 1 species
CGGUCCUAAGGUAGCGAAAUUCCUUGUCGGGUAAGUUCCGACCUGCACGAAUGGCGUAACGAUUUGGGCGCUGUCUCAACCAUAGACCCGGUGAAAUUGUAUUAUUCGUGAAGAUGCGAAUUACCCGCGGAAGGACGGAAAGACCCCGUGAACCUUCACUGCAGCUUGGCAUUGGCCGCUGGUCCCGCGUGUAGAGGAUAGGCAGGAGGCACAGAUCCGGAGGCGCCAGCCCCCGGGGAGCCGCCCUUGGAAUACUGCCCUCGCGCGACCGGCGUCCUAACCCGAGGCCGUCAACCGGCUCGGGGACCGUGCCAGGCGGGCAGUUUGACUGGGGCGGUCGCCUCCUAAAGGGUAACGGAGGCGCGCGAAGGUCCGCUCGGGACGGUCGGCAACCGUCCUUUUGAAUGCAAGAGUACAAGCGGGCUUGACUGCGAGGCCCACAAGCCGAGCAGGUGCGAAAGCAGGCUCUAGUGAUCCGGCGGCCCCGAGUGGGUGGGCCGUCGCUCAACGGAUAAAAGGUACUCCGGGGAUAACAGGCUGAUCUUGCCCAAGAGUCCACAUCGACGGCAAGGUUUGGCACCUCGAUGUCGGCUCAUCGCAUCCUGGGGCUGAAGUAGGUCCCAAGGGUUGGGCUGUUCGCCCAUUAAAGCGGUACGCGAGCUGGGUUCAGAACGUCGUGAGACAGUUCGGUCCCUAUCCUCCGUGGGCGCAGGAGAAUCGAUGGAGGCUGCCCCCAGUACGAGAGGACCGGGGUGGACGCACCUCCGGUGAACCGGUUGUCGACCAACGGCACGGCCGGGUAGCCGCGUGCGGCGCGGAUAACCGCUGAAGGCAUCUAAGCGGGAAGCCGUUCCAGGGAUUAGUUCUCCUUCCGGUAAGGGCCCAGGUAGACUACCUGGUCGAUAGACGGCAGGUGCAAGGACGGCGACGUCCUCAGCCGAGCCGCACUAAUCGCCCGAGCUCUUCCGGAA